rnacentral:rRNA from 1 species
GACGAACGCUGGCGGCGUGCCUAAUACAUGCAAGUCGACCUUAGUGGCGGACGGGUGAGUAACACGUGGGUAACCUACCCAUCAGAGGGGGAUAACACUUGGAAACAGGUGCAAAUACCGCAUACUGUUGGAUGGACCCGCGGUGCAUUAUCUAGUUGGUGAGGUAACGGCUCACCAAGGCCACGAUGCAUAGCCGGUCUGAGAGGCUGAUCGGCCACAAUGGAAUUGAGACACGGUACAGACUCCUGCGGUAGGCAGCAGUGGGGAAUAUUGCACAAUGGGCGCAAGCCUGAUGCAGCAAUGCCGCGUGUGUGAAGAAGGCCGUCGGGUUGUAAAGCACUUUCAGCGAGGAGCGUUACUCGCAGAAGAAGCACCGGCUAACUCCGUGCCAGCCGCCGCGGUAAUAC